rnacentral:lncRNA from 1 species
GUGUGUGAGAGAGAAGGCGAAGGGAGCCGCGGGGUGGGAGAGGAGGGAGUCCCGGCGGGAGGGCGGGGGAGAGGCUGGCGGGAGGGGGGCUCCACGGAGCUCCAGCCAGGGCCGCGGUUCGCCUGCACGUCACGGCUACUCAAACCCAAGCACGUCCCGAAAGCGGUAUUUUCUGCGUCUGGGAGGUUUUUGCAUCCUCAGUUCCCACCGCUGGGGCUGGCGGCGACCAACUAUAGUCAUUUUGCCUCCUGGACAGUUGGCUGACGAAGUGUCUGAUAAACCAGCUUCAGAUACAUGCUACAAAAGAAGUCCCACUUUAUCAUUAAUGAUGACAAUAACUAAGGCUGCCAGGAACAGCACAUCUGCUGAGCUUUAUCAACACCAGAUUCUCUCAUUUUGCCUUCUGGAUCUCCAUGCUUUUUUAUACCAACAAACAAGAGGAAGAAUAUUCUCUACCCACUUCCUUGACUGAAGCCUGCUCUUUUAUGAAGACAUGGCAUCUCUUCCAACCGUGUCAAACAGAUGCAAUUUAUAUGUCUGCUGCUUCCAUACCCUGAUUAAAUGGGUCAGUGGCAGAAUCAGUAUCCUUAGUCUCCCCUUUGGUUUCAAAUAUGUACUCCUUAUUUCAGUUUCAUGCUCACCUUUCUGUAGAGACCAAGGCAUCUGCCUUUGCAGCUUUACCUCUUCCUCCAGGUUAUAGUUUCCAUUCAUGGAAUCUUUUAGCUGCUGGCUGGCAGUUUUCCUGUCUACCUGACUUCCAUUCCUCUUCUCAUGACUUCAGCUCCCAUGCAGAUGUCUUAUCCUGACAUACUAGCUUCUCCAUUCUAUUUCUGUGUGUGUGUGUCUGUGUGUUUCCCUACUAGUUCAUCCACAUUUCCCUAUGGUCUUUUUUUUUUAUGUUUUAUUUUUGCAUAUGUGUAUUUCCUUUUAUUUAUUUAUUUAUUUAUUUAU